GGGGCCGCCGAACACAACACUUAUGAUUGAAUUUUGCAACCGAUGUGGCAUCUCUGUAGUCAUGUGUUCAAAAUUUGAAUGCUUGGCAACUGAUCAACUUUUUACACAGUUUUUUCAAUUUCACUAAUUCAAGAAUUGAGCAAGAACCAGGAUUCUAUUUGUAUAGUUUAAAAUUGUGAUUUAUAAAGUUCCAAGCUUCAUGGCAUUUAUAGUCAAAUCAACCAUGUCACAUUCUUGGGUCAUGCCUAAUUUUAACAAGUUGAAGGACAGUCAUAGUGAUUCAAAGUUUGGUUAAGUUAUUGAAACUAGCCAAUCAUCUAAUUUACCAUUCCCUAUUGCUGAAUAAAGAGACUUGCCUGGUCCCUUCUAA